rnacentral:rRNA from 1 species
UGGGGAAUUUUGCACAAUGGGGGAAACCCUGAUGCAGCGACGCCGCGUGAUUUAGAAGGCCUUCGGGUUGUAAAAAUCUUUUCUAUGGGAAGAAAAUGACAGUACCAUAGGAAUAAGGACCGGCUAAUUACGUGCCAGCAGCCGCGGUAAUACGUAAGGUCCGAGCGUUGUCCGGAAUCAUUGGGCGUAAAGGGUACGUAGGCGGGUAAGCAAGUUAGAAGUGAAAUCCUAUAGCUCAACUAUAGUAAGUUUUUAAAACUGCUCAUCUUUAGGUAUGGAAGGGAAAGUGGAAUUCCUAGUGUAGCGGUGAAAUGCGCAGAUAUUACGAGGAAUACCGGUGGCGAAGGCGACUUUCUGGCCAUAACCUGACGCUGAGGUACGAAAGCGUGGGUAGCAAACAGG